UCGUGAGCAAACCCUAGUGUGGCGGCUCCUGACAUAUCCUCUCUCCACGGCAGGCUGCGGCAUCACAACCUCCCGUCGACCAUCCAGCGUCUCUUUGGUUGGAUCUGGAAGAUGAGGGUCGGGACUGAGCCGAGGGAAGACUCAGAGAGUAGGGCGACGGGAAAGAGGUGAAGAAGGCAGUGCCGUGCUCGAUCAACGAUGCGAGGAACAUCUCUUCGCGUCGCAGGGAUGGGAUGGAAGCCGCUGGACUCGAUCUUCCAGUUCCGCACGACUCAAAGCGCCUCCUCAACUCCCCUUUUUAACCCUAGGCGCCCUUCAAAGAAUUGGAAGUGGGAGGGAACCGUGAGAUAGGCUGGGUCACCAGGUAAAUCUCACUCUUCAAGUGUUAUACUCUCUUAUAUCGUUCUGAUGGUGUCAGUUAACACAGAUUCUGGAAGGGACACCAUUUUUAUAUGCUAUCAUCACAGGCUAUGAUAAGAGAAUAUCUUAAGAUGUGUGCACUGCUAAUCUGUUAUUUAUUUUGUGGUGAGAUGUUUGUCUAUCUGCAAUCAUUUUCUUUUUUGCCAAAUAAAAUUUGAACUCACACGUGUUGUCUGAUGCCUGGCCAUUAAUUCAUAUUACCGUACAACCCUUCCUAUUAAAAAAUGUAAAUGACAAUAUGCAAGCUAACUCUAAAUUUCAUUUAUGCUGUCAGGAACAACAGAUGCUAUUGCCGAGGAUUUGACCUUAUGAGUUACGAUACAUUAAAGCAAAUGAUCCUGACUUUUCUUCCCUCCCGUGCUAUUUAUAUACUUUUGUUCUUGCAGUUUCCCAUCUAGGUAACAGCUCACACGUCGUGAGUUUUCGGAAUGAGCAUAUUUCCAUUGCUUCGUACAGAAGCAUGUUAAAUUCUAUGACUCAAUAAAACAUGGUAAUCUUAGGUAAUGUAAAAGCGAAAUUCAUUAAUUGGCAUCUGUCCCAGUUGUGCAAAAACAUGUUUGGCUAUUGUUUCCUGCGACUUCUUAGGGUUCACAAUGAUUCUACUAAAGAAGUGUGAUAAGCUUCUGAGAUCCCGGUACAAAAGAGUUUCUGAGUCAGAUGAGCACUCUCUGUAUUUGGAUUUGUUUAUCAUGCUAUAUACUCAUGCAAGGGAGAACUUUUCUGAUGUAGUAAAGGAUGUCAAGGUGGACUCUGAAACUCUGUUCAAACAACAAUUUUUUUAUAUAUUUCCUAUUGCGUGAACGGAAGCUAAGCUUUCUAGACGUAGCCAAGUAAUGCAUUAUACACUUCUAUCAUUUGAGGCGCCAUGGUUGCAUUUAUUAUGUUAUUUGAAACUCUAUAUGUUUAUAUAGACCAGUCUUUUUUGGUUUGAUCAGUUUUGCUGCCUUUCUCUAUGGUCAGGUAUUCUUUACUUGCAACUGAAAUAUCAUGGUUGUUGCUUUGUGGAGAAAAUAAUGCUAUUAGUUUGACUAGCGAGGAUCUGUACAACUCGGGUGAUCAAAGAUUCUUAUCAUACUGCAGGUAUCCUAGGACCUUACAUAACAUUUUUGCCCUAUGUCCAUAUGUUCAAGUUGAUAUUGGAAGGAGCAGGAACAUAAUUGGAGCCGGCUGACCAAAAUGAAAGUAAUAACACUUUGCAACAAGGCUUGUUGAAACAGGAAUAAGAGUAGGCAGAGCAGCUGCAAGCCAAAACAUCAAGAUCUUACAUUUACAUGAGUGAAGGUGCCAUAUGUUCCUAUUCAUGAUCACUUUAUAUAUCGCUCACGUACAAAAACUAUGGCAGUUUCUCUUGAAAAAAAAUCAAAACCACAUGUGUCUAAUGUUGUGAUCACUUAUUGUAAUUUUUUUUGCAUGUAUUGAGGCAAGUGGCUAAAUGCGGAAAGGUACCACACUUUAUUAUGGGCAUGUAUAAGCAAUGUCAUGAGAGUGGAUCUAUAUUAUAUUUCCCAGCUUGAAAAAAAAUCAGUAAGGCUGUUCCAUGGCCAAACUAAAUUUCUAAAUUUGAUAUUAGAUACGUAUGAUAGGUGAUGUUCUGUUACGGAUAUUAAAAUAUAUGCUAUCUGAAUAGCGAUGCUAUUGUAUGCUACAUCAAUAUACACCAUAAUAUUAUUGUUUACAUUAUGUUGUUGCUUUAUUUUCAUCUGACUGUAGUUUUUUUUGCAUGUGAUACUACUUAACAACCUACCACCACUUGACUGAGCUCUUUGGAGGUGAUUUUUACCUCAAUAAAACAUUUCUUAUUGUAGAUCAUAUGAAAUUCUUCAAUCAGAGGAGCUCCUCAAUGCAUAAGCCAAAGGCACAUUCAAAGAAAAGCAAGGAAUGGUCAGUGAGAAAUGAUAUUUGUAUUUCAACAGUUUCUAAGAAAAGACUGUAAUUUUCAUCUCUAUUCUAUGAAUAAGUCUGACAUGUUUUUUGACAAACGGUUCUUUUGACCAUCCAGAUUUUAGUGUUAUAUGGACUUCGAUUAGUCCAUGUUUUAAUGCUUUGCAUGUGUAUCCCCAAAUGCAAAUAUUGUUGAAAUGUAAGAACACAAAUGAGCAGAAGCGUUAGAUAACCAUUUGUUCC